rnacentral:lncRNA from 1 species
GAUGGCGGUGUUGGAGUUGGUGAUGGAGGCGUUGAUGGGGAAGUGAGCGUAGACGAAGCGCAUCUUGUAGCGGUAGCCCUUGGUGACGCCGGUGAUGAGGUUCUGGACGUGGGAGAUGGCGGUGCGGAUGGCGGCCAUGGUGCGGCGGGUGCCGAACCACGCGUCCACCUGCAGCUUGCGGCCGCCCUCCAGCAGCUGGAAGUCGAGGUUGAGGUGCUUGAAGUUGCGGGUCAGCUUCCCGCGGGGGCCCUCCACCGUCACCACCUUCGCGGCGACCUGCACCGUCACCCCCUCCGGGAUCUCCAUCGUCUCG